UACGAAGGGGGGCUAGCGUUGCUCGGAAUCACUGGGCGUAAAGGGCGCGUAGGCGGCGUUUUUAAGUCGGGGGGUGAAAGCCUGUGGCUCAACCCACAGAAUGGCCUUCGAUACUGGGGACGCUUGAGUAUGGUAGAGGUUGGUGGAACUGCGAGUGUAGAGGUGAAAUUCGUAGAUAUUCGCAAGAACACCGGUGGCGAAGGCGGCCAACUGGACCAUUACUGACGGCUGAGGCGCGAAAGCGUGGGGAGCAAACAGG
rnacentral:rRNA from 1 species